rnacentral:lncRNA from 1 species
AGCGGCCUGAUCCCAGCUCCCCCCCCCCUCCUCCGCCGCCGCCACCACCGCCGCCGCCUCCCUUCCCCGCUUCCCCGGCGUGAGGAGGAAAGUUGCGCCAGCGGCUGGGGGGCGCUGCCCAGGGUCGGCGUGCCUGAGGACGGUCAGUCUCGUAAGAGGAAAGUGGUCACCACUGAAACUCGUGUCGCCCCCGGAAUUACUUAGGUAACGCUUGGGGGGGGGUAAGAAUAAGGGGGGGAUGGGGAAGCCCCUCCGGAGUGAC